rnacentral:rRNA from 1 species
UACGUAGGGUGCGAGCGUUGUCCGGAAUUAUUGGGCGUAAAGAGCUCGUAGGCGGCCUGUCGCGUCGGAUGUGAAAGCCCGGGGCUUAACCCCGGGUCUGCAUUCGAUACGGGCAGGCUAGAGUGUGGUAGGGGAGAUCGGAAUUCCUGGUGUAGCGGUGAAAUGCGCAAAUAUCAGGAGGAACACCGGUGGCGAAGGCGGAUCUCUGGGCCAUUACUGACGCUGAGGAGCGAAAGCGUGGGGAGCGAACAGG